UGUUCGGGCACAAAGUAGGAA
rnacentral:piRNA from 1 species